rnacentral:rRNA from 1 species
CAGCCGCCGCGGUAAUACAGAGGGUGCGAGCGUUAAUCGGAUUUACUGGGCGUAAAGCGUGCGUAGGCGGCUUUUUAAGUCGGAUGUGAAAUCCCUGAGCUUAACUUAGGAAUUGCAUUCGAUACUGGGAAGCUAGAGUAUGGGAGAGGAUGGUAGAAUUCCAGGUGUAGCGGUGAAAUGCGUAGAGAUCUGGAGGAAUACCGAUGGCGAAGGCAGCCAUCUGGCCUAAUACUGACGCUGAGGUACGAAAGCAUGGGGAGCAAACAGGAUUAGAUACCCCGGUAGUCCCUGUCUCUUAUAC